GACCAUUUUUAUUUCUUUUUUUUAGCAAAGCUGCUUCUUGGUAACGUUCUCAAGGAAGGAACUGCAAUUUCUAUCAACCCUCUAGUGAUUUGGGCUUGGGCAGGACUCCUUAUCAAUGCCAUCAACAGCAUUCCUGCCGGAGAGCUUGAUGGAGGGCGAAUUUCUUUCGCUCUAUGGGGAAGAAAGGCUUCAUUACGUUUGACAGGAGUUUCAAUUGCGUUGCUGGGACUCUCGUCACUGCUUAAUGAUGUAGCUUUCUACUGGGUAGUUCUCAUUUUCUUCUUGCAAAGAGGUCCAAUUGCACCACUCUCGGAGGAAUUAACUGAUCCUGGUGAGAAAUAUGUUGCUAUUGGAAUAACAGUUUUGCUUUUAGGCUUGUUGGUGUGCCUCCCAUACCCUUUCCCAUUUACAGACGAAACCCUCACAAGUUUCUAGACAUAGUUGCCUCAUAAACUCUGGCAGUGUCCCUUUAGACUGCUAGAAAAUUUUAUAAAUGAUUAGAAGGUAGGAUUUUUGGUGAAUUAUACUUUCGACGUUGGCUCAUACCGGGUGAAUAAUCACACGUCAAUUUUUUAGGCUGCAUACAUCCCUAGUUUAGUUAUUCAUAA